rnacentral:lncRNA from 10 species
CAGCCUCGCUGCCGCCUUGCAGUUUGAUCUCAGACUGCUGUGCUAGCAGUCAGCGAGACUCCCUGGGCGUAGGAACCUCUGAACCAGGUGGGGGAUAUAAUCUCGCGGUGCGCCGUUUUUGAAGCCUGUCGGAAAAGCGCAGUAUUCGGGUUGGAGUGAACCGAUUUUCCAGAUGCAGCCUGAUAACACCUUCCCUCAGGCCUGCAGGGUUGUACCACUUGCUUCUUGACCUGGGUCUUCUCUGAUGUGGGAUGUUUCCAUAACUACAAAGUGAAAGUAGAGAAGGGGUUUCACCGUGGUCUCAAUCUCCUGACCUCGUGAUCUGCCCGCCUCGGCCUCCCAAAGUGCUGGGAUUACAAGCGUGACCCACCGCGCCCCGCCUGGAAAACUUUCAGUGAUCACCCAAGAUGGCGUCUGCCUUUGUUGCCCAGGCUGGAGUGCAGUGGUGCCAUUUCGGCUCACUGCAACCUCUGCCUCCAGGGUUCAAGGGAUUCUUCUGCCUUAGCCUCCUGAUUAUGACUUUUUUAAAGUUAUAGAAUACACUUAAGAACAACUGGAAGAAAUUUGAAUAUGUACCUCUAUUUGAUGUUACUAAGGAAUUGUUGUUAACUCCUUACAUAUGAUAAUGGAAUAGUAUGGCUGUAAAUGAACAUGUCCUCAUUCUUUAGGAGAUACAUCCUGAAGCAUCUUGAUGUCUUUCAUUGAUUUUCACAUAGUUUAUUUGAAAAAUACAAACACAUUUAUAGCUACAUUAAGCAAAUGUGGCAAAAGUUAACAGUUAUUGAAUUUAGAUGUUGGGCAUAUGGAUGUUCAUUGUUCAUUUAAACAUUUCAGUAUUUACAAAUGUAUAAUAUAAAUUUGGAAACAAAAGAAAAAUGACAUAUGUGUUUUGUGUGUGUGAUUCUAUUUGUGUAUAUGUAUGUGAGUUAAUCUCCAGAAAUUCAAUAAAAAUCUUUGUCUCAGAAU